rnacentral:misc_RNA from 1 species
AUGACUAAUACCCUCUUCCAACGAACUUGUAUUUCUAAAAGAAAAAUACAUUGUUUGCACUUUUCGUGUUAGCCAUGGCACUAGAAAGCAAACUUCUACUUCUCUUUGCACUGCUUGUGUUCUCCUUCGAUCACACCGCGGCCUCGAAGAUGAAGUCCAAGGUCACACGAAUGCAGUUCUACAUGCAUGACAUUGUGGGUGGCCCGAAUCCAACCGCAGUCCGGGUUGCAGGCCGGUCCAACUUCACUGGCUCAAAUCCAAUGGCAGCUAUGUUUGGAUCCGUUUUUGUUAUGGAUAAUCCACUCACAGCCACACCAAACCCGAAUUCUACAGUGUUAGGGCGUGCACAAGGGAUAUAUGCCAUGUCCUCUCAAGAAAGUGAGUUUAGCCUUCUUAUGACACUAACAUAUGGGUUCAUUAGUGGACGUUACAAUGGCAGCUCUUUUAGUGUACUUGGCCGGAAUCCGGUGAUGAGUGCGGUGAGGGAAAUGCCGAUCGUUGGUGGCACAGGAAUUUUUCGGCUUGCUCGUGGGUAUUGCUUGGCGAAGACUUACUCAAUGGAUCAAAUGGAUGCUAUAAUUGGAUACAAUGUAACCUUGCUGCAUUAUUGAGUUAGACUUAAAUUUAUGCUACAUUUUCAAUGUAUUAGUUUUUCUCUUUAACAAGGCUUUUAUUACAAAGAAGGCUAAUUGGCA